AUUUCAAUAGACACCUGAAUGUUAUGCCUCCAGUUCUUACAGACUAACACAUACCUUUUCCAUUUUCGAUAAAGUCCUGAAAGUCUAUUGAAAGCUUAGUCUCGGCUGAAAACAAAAGAGCUGCCAAGCAGGGUUGCUAGACAAGAAGCGUGCUUACAAUAUGGUCGACAUCAUUAGCUGGUUUAUCUCCAUGGACUAUCUUUGCCAAAGAAUACAAUAGAUUUAUUCCAGUUGCCAUUUCUUUGAUUUCAAGCAUUUUAAAAAUAAAGAUUGAGGCUCAAGUGUAGCUUAUCUUUAAAAUCAAAUGCACGCAGUCGACCGCAGUUGACCGAUUGUCGUCGAACGUUGGAUUACACUAUUUCAUGGUUACUUUACACGGUGAAAACUAUUACAUUUGUUUGCAAUGAUGGCAUUUAUGAACAGACCAGAGAAGUAAACAAACUCAUGACAAAAAUGGAAGGAAAAGAGCAGUGUGAAAAAUUAGUUCUUCGUUAUAUGUAUAACCAGAUUUCAAAAUUACAGAGCUGUAUAUUUUAUACCACAGAGACGAAACUGUUCAAAUGAUUCCUUGUUGGUAAACAGCCAAUUCCAUCAUGAUACUCGACCAGGUAAAAGCUACAUGACAAUCAGAAAAUGAUUUAUAAUUUUAGUCAAAAACCGGGGAAAAAAAUGAAGACAAAAACAUUUGGCAUCAUUACAGCAGUCCAGAUAAAAUUUUCAUGUGUUUUAGGUGUAUGUAUUUUGACGUCCCAAUGUAUGUCGUCAAUAGAUACGGGCGUCCCUAAACUAUGGACUAUCCUCAAGGAAGGGAUACAAUACAAGUACCAAUUCUCCUGUUUAUUCCAGCAUCCAAGGGUUGCAACUGUUCAAAUGAUGAUGAUGGAAGCUUUUAACGACCUUGACUGGCUAUACAGCCCUCGCAAGGUCCGUGUAAUCUUUUUGGAGGAGCAAUCAUUCGACUUUUAUUGGGAAGUGUUGGUUGACGAUGUCUGGCCGAGAAGACUUAAUGCAGACUUGAUAGAACCAAUAUUGUGUUAGUUAAAUUACCAGAGUUGCAAAUAUUGACUAAGACUGGUCAAAUAUCACUUAUACAAAGGACUAUCCACAUGUUAAUAGUAUCUCACUGUCAUUUGAGUAACAAAAGAAAGGACACCGAGUUUGGCCAAUGUUUGAGUGCCAGAGAAUUGUAUUUAGUUUGGAUUUCUGACUAAUUAUUUAAAUCUUGAAUUUUACAAUUGGAUUAGUUACUAAAUAUAAACUUGCCAGUUUGA